GCUGGAUAACAGAAAAUAACAGGAAACUAUUUCUAAUAUGCCCCCUCAAGAUGGAAUGUAAAUGUCUUUUACAUUCAUCUUGGAUAACAACGGAAUAAGGACCGUAUCUGGAAGUGGUUUUUUGAAGACAUUGGCAAGCUGAUGUUGUGAACGAACUGGCAAUAAUUUGAUGACUCCAGCAUUAAUCUUGUCUCGAAAAGCGGGACUAUGUGCAAUCUGAAUUGCGGCCUGGUUGUAACAAAAAAGAACUGCUGGUGAUGCUACACAAAUUUGAAAGUCUUCCAAUAACUGGUUGAUCACUUCACUAAUGGUUGCUAAAAGUGCCCUGUAUUCUACCUCAGCUGAAGAGCAAGAGACUCUAGAUUGGCACUUAACUUUCCAGGAUACCACCGAGUCGCCUAGAAAAAUACAAAAUCCAGUGAUGGAUUUUCUUGUGUCAAGACAAGAGCCCUAGUCUGCCUCCGAGAAAGGACGAAGUUUGAUGCUUGAUUGAUGGCUAGAUAAAGCAGAAAAUAACAAGCCUUGACCAAGAUUGCCUUUGAGGUAACGAAGGAGGUGAUGCACUGCAUUUGAGAUGUGGCAUUCUAGGUUGAGACAGAUAUUGGCUCAGCUUGUAAACAGCAAAGGUUAUAUCAAGUCAUGAAAUGGUUAAGUAAAUCAGCUUCCUAAUCAACCGACGAUAAUGUGAUGCAUCUGGUAACAAGUUCCCAUUAUGAAUGCUUAUGUUAAUAUUUGGAUCCAUGGGUGUGCUGGUUGGCUUGCAAUCUAAGUAACCAGCAUCCUCCAACAACUGAAGUGUGUAAUGUCUUUGAGAUAUGACAAUACCAGUUUGAGAUCGAGAAAUCUCAAUCCCCAAAAAAUACUUCAAGGUACCUAAUUCUUUGAGCUAAAACUGGGAGUGUAGAAACACCUUUAAAGACUUAAUUACUUGAAUGUUUGGCCCUGUGAUAACGAUGUCAUCAACGUAUACAAGUAAAGCAACAAAGUCGGGUCCAGAUCCCUAGUGAAUAGAGAGUAGUCAGCUUUUGAUUGAUGGAAACCACAAUGAAUAAGGGCUUGAGUGAACUUUGCAUUCCAUUGUUUGGAGGCGUGUUUGAGGCCAUAAAUUGACUUGUUCAGUUUGCAUACUAAUCUCUUUCCUUGUUGGAACAUUUGGGAGUCUCAUAGCCCAUAGGAAAGUCCACGUAUACUUCUUCGAACAAGUCACCAUUCAAGAAGGCGUUGCUGACAUCUAGCUGGACAAGAUGCCAUUUAUGCCAAGCUGCAAGAGCCAAUAACAUUUUGACAAUGGCUAUUUUAGCAACUGGGGAACAGGUUUCAAAGCAAUCAAGACCUUCCUGCUGUGUAAAGCCUUUAGCCACCAACAGUGCUUUGUGUCUAUCCAAAGUUCCAUCAGAUUUAUACUUAAUUUUGUAGAUCCAUUUGCAACCUAUGG
rnacentral:lncRNA from 1 species